GGGCCAGAUCACGGGAGCCACGACGCGAGCACGCUCGUCUGACGGGUGGCUGAGAGGGUGUUCGACACCGACCGUCCGAACCUGAUGCGGAUCAUGCCGCCGAAGGGAGCGCCUUGUCAGGCAAC
rnacentral:ncRNA from 2 species